GAAUUUUCCGCAAUGGGCGAAAGCCUGACGGAGCAAUACCGCGUGAGGGAAGACGGCCUAUGGGUUGUAAACCUCUUUUCUCAGGGAGGAACUCAAUGACGUGUACCUGAAGAAUAAGCAUCGGCUAACUCCGUGCCAGCAGCCGCGGUAAGACGGAGGAUGCAAGUGUUAUCCGGAAUCACUGGGCGUAAAGCGUCUGUAGGUGGUUUGGUAAGUCAACUGUUAAAUCUUGAGGCUCAGCCUCAAAAUCGCAGUCGAAACUAUCAGACUUGAGUAUAGUAGGGGUAAAGGGAAUUUCCAGUGGAGCGGUGAAAUGCGUAGAGAUUGGAAAGAACACCGAUGGCGAAGGCACUUUACUGGGCUAUUACUAACACUCAGAGACGAAAGCUAGGGUAGCAAAUGGGAUUAGAUACCCCAGUAGUC
rnacentral:rRNA from 1 species